GUAUGGCGUGACAGAAUUGUGACCAUACUGGCAGUGUGGGGGUCAGGGGUUCGAGUCCCCUCGGCUCCA
rnacentral:tRNA from 1 species